UACGAUGGGGGCUAGCGUUGUUCGGAUUUACUGGGCGUAAAGCGCACGUAGGCGGACUUUUAAGUCAGGGGUGAAAUCCCAGAGCUCAACUCUGGAACUGCCUUUGAUACUGGAAGUCUUGAGUAUGGUAGAGGUGAGUGGAAUUCCGAGUGUAGAGGUGAAAUUCGUAGAUAUUCGGAGGAACACCAGUGGCGAAGGCGGCUCACUGGACCAUUACUGACGCUGAGGUGCGAAAGCGUGGGGAGCAAACAGG
rnacentral:rRNA from 1 species